UACGUAGGGGGCAAGCGUUGUCCGGAUUUAUUGGGCGUAAAGAGCGUGUAGGCGGCCAGGUAGGUCUGCUGUGAAAACUCGAGGCUUAACCUCGAGCUGUCGGCGGAAACCAUCUGGCUAGAGUCCGGAAGAGGAGAGUGGAAUUCCUGGUGUAGCGGUGAAAUGCGUAGAGAUCGGCAGGAACACCCAGGGGGAAACCAGUGGACUGGCACGGUGCUGACACUCAGGUGCGAAAGCGUGGGGAGCGAACCGG
rnacentral:rRNA from 1 species